rnacentral:lncRNA from 1 species
GGCCUUCAAAUUGUCGGAGCACUGAGGCGGCGGCUUUGAUUGACCGACGAUCCAGCCGGCUGCUACAAGAACAAUCAAAACUUGGCAAAUUUCAACUGAGAAUUUAUUCCUACUUGAUACUCAAGAUUCUUGGGAUUGCGUUCUCAUCUCGAAUAUGCUUGCUGCUGCAGAGAGACGGGGACGAGGCGAGCCUUGUGAGGGAGGAGAUGAAGGAAGCGGGGAUCGUCAAAAUGCUGCUGAUAAGGUGCUCAGAAUCAGAAGACCUGAAACUAU